UACGUAGGGUGCGAGCGUUAAUCGGAUUUACUGGGCGUAAAGCGUGCGCAGGCGGCCCGUUAAGACAGGUGUGAAAUCCCUGGGCUCAACCUAGGAAUUGCGCUUGUGACUGGCAGGCUCGAGUACGGUAGAGGGGGGUGGAAUUCCUGGUGUAGCAGUGAAAUGCGUAGAGAUCAGGAGGAACACCGAUGGCGAAGGCAGCCCCCUGGGCCUGUACUGACGCUCAUGCACGAAAGCGUGGGGAGCAAACAGG
rnacentral:rRNA from 1 species